AAGCUCGUAGUUGAAUUUCGGGAUCAAUUUAUUGGUCGUGCUAUUGUACGUACUGGUAUUAUUGAUUCCUACCUUCUGACGAACCAUGAUGUCAUUAAUUUGGUGUCAUGGGGAAUCAGGACUGUUACUUUGAAAAAAUUAGAGUGUUUAAAGCAGGCUCACGCUUGAAUACAUUAGCAUGGAAUAACGAAAUAGGACGUUUGAUUCUAUUUUGUUGGUUUCUAGGAUCGACGUAAUGAUUAAUAGGGAUAGUUGGGGGCAUUAGUAUUCAAUUGUCAGAGGUGAAAUUCUUGGAUCUAUUGAAGACUAACUACUGCGAAAGCAUUUGCCAAGGAUGUUUUCAUUAAUCAAGAACGAAGGUUAGGGGAUCGAAAACGAUCAGAUACCGUUGUAGUCUUAACAGUAAACUAUGCCGACUAGGGAUCGGACGACCUCUUUUUUAUGUGUCGUUCGGCA
rnacentral:rRNA from 1 species